rnacentral:rRNA from 1 species
CCCGUGAUCCGGGUUGCGGACAGUGUCUGGUGGGUAGUUUGACUGGGGCGGUCUCCUCCUAAAGAGUAACGGAGGAGCACGAAGGUUGGCUAAUCCUGGUCGGACAUCAGGAGGUUAGUGCAAUGGCAUAAGCCAGCUUGACUGCGAGCGUGACGGCGCGAGCAGGUGCGAAAGCAGGUCAUAGUGAUCCGGUGGUUCUGAAUGGAAGGGCCAUCGCUCAACGGAUAAAAGGUACUCCGGGGAUAACAGGCUGAUACCGCCCAAGAGUUCAUAUCGACGGCGGUGUUUGGCACCUCGAUGUCGGCUCAUCACAUCCUGGGGCUGAAGUAGGUCCCAAGGGUAUGGCUGUUCGCCAUUUAAAGUGGUACGCGAGCUGGGUUUAGAACGUCGUGAGACAGUUCGGUCCCUAUCUGCCGUGGGCGCUGGAGAACUGAGGGGGGCUGCUCCUAGUACGAGAGGACCGGAGUGGACGCAUCACUGGUGUUCGGGUUGUCAUGCCAAUGGCACUGCCCGGUAGCUAAAUGCGGAAGAGAUAAGUGCUGAAAGCAUCUAAGCACGAAACUUGCCCCGAGAUGAGUUCUCCCUGAGACUUAGAGUCUCCUGAAGGAACGUUGAAGACGACGACGUUGAUAGGCCGGGUGUGUAAGCGCAGCGAUGCGUUGAGCUAACCGGUACUAAUGAACCGUGAG